GGUUGAUCCUGCCGGACCCCACUGCUAUCGGGAUAGGACUAAGACAUGCUAGUCGAGUGACUCAGGCAAAACGAGUCACGGCACACAGCUCAGUAACACGUGGCUAAUCUGCCCUUGGGACUAGAACAACCCCGGGAAACUGGGGCUAAAUCUGGAUAGGUGAAGAACUCUGGAAUGAGUCUUUGCCUAAAAAGGUUCACGUUAUCCUCGUGAACUUGCCCAAGGAUGAGGCCGCGACCGAUCAGGUUGUUGGUGAGGUAAUGGCUCACCAAGCCUUUUACCGGUGCGGGCCG
rnacentral:rRNA from 1 species